rnacentral:rRNA from 1 species
UACAAGGAAUUGACGGGGCCGCACAAGCGGUGGAGCAUGUGGUUUAAUUCGACGCAACGCGAGAACCUUACCAGGGCUUGACAUCCCCUGACCGUCUAUGAAAGUAGGCUUUCUACCUUCGGGUAGACAGGGAGACAGGUGGUGCAUGGUUGUCGUCAGCUCGUGUCGUGAGAUGUUGGGUUAAGUCCCGCAACGAGCGCAACCCUUACGGUUAGUUGCCAGCGGGUUAUGCCGGGCACUCUAGCUGAACUGCCGUUGACAAACGGAGGAAGGUGGGAUGACGUCAAAUCAUCAUGCCCUUUAUGUCCUGGGCUACACACGUGCUACAAUGGCCUGUACAGAGGGAAGCGAAAGGGUGACCUGGAGCGAAUCCCAAAAAGCAGGUCUCAGUUCGGAUUGCAGGCUGCAACCCGCCUGCAUGAAGUCGGAAUCGCUAGUAAUCGCAGGUCAGCAUACUGUGGUGAAUACGUUCCCGGGCCUU